rnacentral:rRNA from 1 species
UACAGAGGGGGCAAGCGUUGUUCGGAAUUACUGGGCGUAAAUGGCGCGUAGGCGGCCUGUUAAGUCGAACGUGAAAUCCCCGGGCUCAACCCGGGAACUGCGUCCGAUACUGGCAGGCUUGAAUCCGGGAGAGGGAUGUGGAAUUCCAGGUGUAGCGGUGAAAUGCGUAGAUAUCUGGAGGAACACCGGUGGCGAAGGCGGCAUCCUGGACCGGUAUUGACGCUGAGGCGCGAAAGCCAGGGGAGCAAACGGG